ACGCUGGCGGCAGGCCUAACACAUGCCAGUCGAGCGCGCCCUUCGGGGUGAGCGGCGGACGGGUGAGUAACGCGUGGGAACGUGCCCUUCUCUGCGGAAUAGCCUCGGGAAACUGAGAGUAAUACCGCAUACGCCCUUUGGGGGAAAGAUUUAUCGGAGAAGGAUCGGCCCGCGUUGGAUUAGGUAGUUGGUGGGGUAAUGGCCCACCAAGCCGACGAUCCAUAGCUGGUUUGAGAGGAUGAUCAGCCACACUGGGACUGAGACACGGCCCAGCCUCCUACGGGAGGCAGCAGUGGGGAAUCUUAGACAAUGGGGGCAACCCUGAUCUAGCCAUGCCGCGUGAGUGAUGAAGGCCUUAGGGUUGUAAAGCUCUUUCAGCUGGGAAGAUAAUGACGGUACCAGCAGAAGAAGCCCCGGCUAACUCCGUG
rnacentral:rRNA from 1 species